rnacentral:snoRNA from 1 species
CCCCUCUCAGGCUCGUACCUGGAGAGUUUCCAGUACUCUACCGGUCUCAGCUACGGGAGGGAGAGUCAAGCAGAGGCAUACCAUUCCACUCCUAGCUUGGCCAGCGGCUAGUGAGUGGAAGGCAAUCCGCUACAAGU